rnacentral:rRNA from 1 species
GACGCACCGUGCGAACGUUGUUCGGAUUCACUGGGCUUAAAGGGCGCGUAGGCGGACUCGCAAGUCUGUGGUGAAAGCCCCCAGCUCAACUGGGGAAGUGCCGUGGAUACUGCAAGUCUGGAGGAGGGUAGGGGCAUCUGGAACGCUGGGUGGAGCGGUGAAAUGCGUUGAUAUCCAGCGGAACUCCGGUGGCGAAGGCGAGGUGCUGGACCCUUUCUGACGCUGAGUGCGCGAAAGCCAGGGGAGCAAACGGG